UGAUGGCAAAAUCGGGCGCCAAUAUGGCGUUUGUAGCAGGAGUUAUUCGGCGCCUGGACGAGACGGUAGUGAAUCGCAUAGCGGCGGGAGAAGUUAUCCAGCGGCCGGCCAAUGCUAUCAAAGAGAUGAUUGAAAACUGAUGCAAAAUCUACAAAUAUUCAAGUGAUUGUUAAAGAAGGAGGCCUGAAGCUAAUUCAGAUCCAAGACAAUGGCACUGGAAUCAGGAAGGAAGAUUUGGAUAUUGUGUGUGAGAGGUUCACUACAAGUAAACUGCAGACCUUUGAGGAUUUAGCUAGUAUUUCCACCUAUGGCUUUCGUGGUGAGGCUUUGGCAAGCAUAAGCCAUGUGGCCCAUGUC
rnacentral:lncRNA from 1 species